rnacentral:rRNA from 1 species
CCCUUAGAUGUUCUGGGCCGCACGCGCGCUACACUGAUGCAUUCAACGAGUUUCUUCCUGGUCCGAGAGGAAUGGGUAACCUUUUGAAAGUGCAUCGUGAUAGGGAUAGACUAUUGCAAUUAUUGGUCUUCAACGAGGAAUUCCUAGUAGACGUAGUUCAUCAGACUGCAUCGAUUACGUCCCUGCCCUUUGUACACACCGCCCGUCGCUCCUACCGAUUGAAUGCUCAGGUGAGCCAUUCGGACUUUCAUCAUGCUGGUUUCCAGUUUUGAUGAAGGAAAGUCUUGCGAACCUUAUCAUUUAGAGGAAGGAGAAGUGGUAACA